rnacentral:tRNA from 1 species
GCCUUCGUAGUGUAGUGGUUAGCACGCUCGGCGCGCAUUCGAGAGAUCCGUGGUUCGAGUCCUGGCGAGGGCA